UACAGAGGGUGCGAGCGUUGUCCGGAAUCACUGGGCGUAAAGAGCUCGUAGGCGGUUUGUCGCGUCUGCUGUGAAAACUCGGGGCUUAACUCCGGGCCUGCAGUGGGUACGGGCAGACUAGAGUGCGGUAGGGGAGACUGGAAUUCCUGGUGUAGCGGUGAAAUGCGCAGAUAUCAGGAGGAACACCGGUGGCGAAGGCGGGUCUCUGGGCCGUAACUGACGCUGAGGAGCGAAAGCGUGGGGAGCGAACAGG
rnacentral:rRNA from 1 species